CCUACGGUAGGCAGCAGUGGGGAAUAUUGGACAAUGGGCGAAAGCCUGAUCCAGCCAUGCCGCGUGUGUGAAGAAGGCCUUCGGGUUGUAAAGCACUUUCAGUGGGGAAGAAAGCCUUGGGGCUAAUACCCUCGAGGAAGGACAUCACCCACAGAAGAAGCACCGGCUAACUCCGUGCCAGCAGCCGCGGUAAUACGGAGGGUGCGAGCGUUAAUCGGAAUUACUGGGCGUAAAGCGCGCGUAGGCGGUCUGAUAAGCCGGUUGUGAAAGCCCCGGGCUCAACCUGGGAACGGCAUCCGGAACUGUCAGGCUAGAGUGCAGGAGAGGAAGGUAGAAUUCCCGGUGUAGCGGUGAAAUGCGUAGAGAUCGGGAGGAAUACCAGUGGCGAAGGCGGCCUUCUGGACUGACACUGACGCUGAGGUGCGAAAGCGUGGGUAGCAAACAGGAUUAGAUACCCUUGUAGUC
rnacentral:rRNA from 1 species